GGCCCCACGGGCCCCCUGCACCCCAAGGACCCCUGGGCAGCGGCCCCGCUGGCCCGGUCCGUAAUCCGUCCCUGGAUGAUGGUGGUCACGUUAUCUGCAGAAACAGAGAAAACAAAGUUGUGGGCUGAUUUGGCAGCUCACAGCAGAGGAGGACCCCGCAGGUGAGAUCGGAUUGAAUUUUUAUUUGUCAUUUAUUAGAAUACAAAUACCCUGCAAUAACUGUCGGGCAUCCUGGAUGCCACUGUGUGAGAUUUCACUUUGGCAUGAUAUUGAGUUUUCUUAUAUUUUAUUGCCUUCUCCGAGAUCAUACCUGCCUUUACUGGAAUGGCUGUGUCUCUGGACAAGAAAGCAACAGGGUCAGCCUUCAUUUCCUUGUACACGACCGUGGCGAUCCAUGGCUUUUGCUUUGGAGGCAAGGGGAUUGUAUCUGCAGGGACAGUUUAUAAAUACGCCCAAACAGCAGCCCUUCCGUUAACAGGAAGCAGUGGUUUUUAAGGUAAACAUGGUGUGCGGUGCGGAGAGUAGAGGACACGUGAAAACGACGGGGAAAAGGAAAAAAAAAAGUUCUGUUGAAAAAAUAUCCCAAGCCAUCAGCAGUCUUAAGGCUAGUGCAUCAGAAAGCCGGCUUUCAACGGGAGUCCCAGCGUACGAGGGUAGCCUACAACCAAAACUUUCAGUGGAGGGUUCGUACGAUGUCCAAGGCUGACUGGGGCUUCUUGGAGCGCUUGCUGGAGGAGGGACAGGAGCACUCGACGGGCGUUGGCCGGGUGUGGCUGACGGUGCUCUUCCUUUUCCGGAUCCUGGUCUUGGGCACAGCGGCCGAGUCCGCUUGGGACGAUGAGCAAUCGGACUUCAUCUGCAACACAGCGCAGCCUGGCUGCGAGCUGGGCUGCUACGACAAGGCCUUCCCCAUCUCACACUUCCGCGUCUUCGUGCUGCAGGUCAUCUUCGUCUCUACGCCGACCGUCUUCUACUUCGGCUACGUGGCCUUUCGCAACAGAUGGAGAGAGAAGGAAUUGGAGGAGGCGGAGGUACAACAUUUGGUCGCAGGAAAGGACAGGGGUAGCAGUCAUCUGGCUGUUAAUGUGAAUGUCAAAAAGGUGACUAAGGACCAUACAGCCAUCUUGGAGCAGCCUAAACUGAAGGGCAGGCUACUCUGUGCUUAUACACUCAGCAUCUGCAUAAAGAUAGUCUUAGAGGUGGGCUUUAUGUUGGGGAUAUAUUUCCUAUACGGCUUCUUCAUCCUCCCCAAGUUCGAAUGUGAACGCCUACCAUGCCCGCACAAGGUGGACUGCUUUGUCUCCCGGCCCACCGAGAAGACUAUCUUCACCAUCUACAUGCAGGUCAUCGCUGGCGUCUCCUUGCUGCUGAACGCUAUGGAGCUCCUCUAUGUCAUCCAGCGGGUCAUAACCCUCUACCUGGAGAGGGCUUUCCGUAGGAGAGACCAGGAUUUGGUGCCGUCCAACCUGGACAGCAUGUCCGCUUCGCAGUGUCCCCCAUCCUAUCAGGAGAGGUGCCAACUGCCGAUUCCUAUAGGUGACAUUAGCUACUCCCAACCGUACAAGGACUGCAUAUUGAUGGAGAACAAGGUAAACCAGCACCAGGGCAUGGAUCAGUGUUCCCCUACAGGUUCACUGCCCAACUACUUGAUCUGUCCCCCCGCCACCUUGACCCUCUCAUCAAAGCCUGACUCAAAAAGGUCGUCUCGCAAGGGAGACAGAAGUAGCUGCACAAAGAGCAUCUCCCAGCAGAAGCAUUAUGUCUGACAGGCGAUGUUCGCAACUAUGAAUUUUUUUUCCGCGGGGUGGGUGGGGUGGGUACUGUAGGCCUAUGAGCACAUUGGGAACAUUCCGUUCCGGCUCCUUGACCGAUUUCAGAGACGCUGGGUCUCAGCUCAUCUUUGGCUGCCGUUGCAUAUCCCAUGGGCCUCACUGGUCCACCCUGGCAUACGGACUUGGCAGCGGCUCGAGUUGAUGGUCCCGGGCCGACCCACAGGCUGAUUCGUCACGGCGAUCGGGCAGAGGCUGUGUAAACGGUUCCUGGGACCAGCUCUCCGGUACUGUAUGGGGACACAGAAGAGGUGGGAAUCGGGCGUGAAGAGGAGCAGCCGAGAAGGGCAAGAGAGGAAGCCAUCUUGUGUUGCUACGUCGAGAUGAUCAGCACGGUACAACAGCAAGGAUUUUCAACAGUAGAGGCAAGGCUAGAAAAAUCUAGACAGAAUUAAAGGACGGGAAGACAUCAUUAGCACACUAAGCUGGUACAGUGGGGUCACCAAACACUCCAUGGAAGCACCCCCCGCCCCUUUGCUGCCAAUGGCCGCCAUGCCCAGGGAUCACUCAGGAAUGCUGGCCAGCCCCCCACCCCCCGCCAACCAAAUGAAAACCCUGCUGUUGCUUUGUGCCGAACUGCAGCAUGAGCGAAUAAGGAAUGCCAGAGCUGUGUGACCCCCCAAGCCCGUCGCGGCCUGCUCAUCCACAUCCUCGUGCCAGGUGUCAUCCUGACGAUGACCCCUAACCCAAACUCAUUUCCAACAUCACCUGCAAUCUAUCGUUGAUGGACCUCUCUCCCAUGGCUUUAUGUCAUACGUACUCAUGAAAAUACGCGUGAUUACAUUUGAUUGACUGUCAUUAUUGCUCUUAAUGAGAAUUUAAAUGAGUCAUGAUGCCACUCGUGGAGGUAUCCCAUGUGCACCUGACUGUACUGUCUGGACUGAGCCGACCUCACCCUUCUCCACGCCGUUUGCAUCACCCAGCCAUUUUCUGGGCUUUCCCCUAGCUGCUAGAAAGCAAAGUGCUCAGCUGAGAUCUGCUGGAGCCCCUCUCACUGUUUCCUGCAUCCUGGCAUUGUUCCUGCCCCCUCCAACCCCCCUUGUCCCUCCCCACUCUCGUGUCACUCAGCAGAGACAGGAACCCAUGCCGGAGUGCAGGAGGCAUCCCAGCAUGCAAAGCCACCGGGAUGCCUCGGGCCACGCGUCACCUGUGCCAAACUUGGCUGCCCAGAACUGUCGGAGACUGUGCACCAGCUGAACCGAAGAAAGCCACUUCCCUCUCUGAAGCCAUAACGGGCACCGGAGCCCACAGUCACAUGACGUGAGAGGGAGGAGGGGAUUGGGCUAAAAAUAACAUCAGCAUGUUGCCUGGUUAUUCUUCAGUGAGGGUCAGCCCUUUGCAUUGUUGAUGUUGUGUUUAUUUAAUGGGUUCCUGAAAAGUGCACUAAUCAUGGUGAUGCGCAGUACAUACCGUUUGGUGUCUCCUGCACACUAACAUUAAACGUGUGAGCAUAAGAAUGAAA